AUCACAUCUUAGCCUUUUGGCUAAGAUCAAGUGAGGAAUUUUUCAGAUUUAAUUUUCAUUACUACUAUAAGUAGUAAAACUAUUAAACUUGUAGCCUUC
ensembl:snRNA U2 U2 spliceosomal RNA